UUCUCAUUUCAGAAUCAGAAAUUUUUCUCUAUUUCUUCAGAAUAAAAAUAUUUCAUUCCAUGAUCAUUUUAUUGUAAGAAAUAAGAAAAUAGAAUUCAUCUAACCUUGAAAUUAUUCGCGCAGUAAAUUCCAUCCAAAAAGAACAAACACACCACAAUUUAAAGAUCAACCAUAGAAUAUUUUAUUCUAACGCUUUUCUUUCGAAACUUCUGUAAAUGAAUUGUCCAUGCCUGCCCUCUAUCGGUUGAAUUUGCUUCGAUCGGGCCGCCAUUACGAUAGCGAACCGAUGAAGAAGAUAAGGUUAACAAUAUCGAGGAUAUUCCCGAGCUAUCGACGAGUACUAUAGUUUAAUGUCAUUGAAUUACUCUCUAUUGGAAGUGCACCCUUUAUCUCUGAAAUUGAGUGCCAAUUUCGGUUUAUUAGCUUGUGGACAACUGUGAUUCGAUACUGAGUAAUCGAGGUUCCAUUGUGUAAUGACACUUGCUACGAAGCAAGAUAAGUAAGUUCCAAUUGCAUGACAAUGAAGAAUGCUUCAAGACACCGUUGAGCUUCUUGCCGGUACUUAAUACGCUCGAUCGAAGAACGAAUGAAAAUUCCAUGGAAGGGGAUGGGUCUGUCAUUGGCCGAUAGAAUAUUCGCCGAGGUAUUAUUCAAAUUAGAUGGAAUCGACUGUCGUCGACCGCGGGUUAGAACCGUUUGUAAUAGAGCUAGGCCGGAAUUCGAAAUGCCACCGAUAAAAGAUGGGUUUCACCCGCGUUCUGAGAAGAACAUUCCCCUUUGUCGUCGAUACUCGUUCAACGACACGCUCACGUCGACCGAAAAUUUUACGAUAUCUUCAAUCCACCUCUGAACA